rnacentral:rRNA from 1 species
GAUGAACGCUGGCGGCGUGCCUAAUACAUGCAAGUCGAACGAGCGGCGGACGGGUGAGUAAUGUCUGGGAAACUGCCUGAUGGAGGGGGAUAACUACUGGAAACGGUAGCUAAUACCGCAUACCAUCAGAUGUGCCCAGAGGGGAUUAGCUAGUAGGUGGGGUAAAGGGUCCCCUGGGCGACGAUCGCUCGGUGGUCUGAGAGGAUGACAAGCCACCCUGGACCGUGGACCGCGUCAUGGGUCCUACGGGAGGCAGCAGUGGGGAAUAUUGGACAAGGGGCGCGAGCCUGAUGCAGCGAGGGGGCGUGUAUUACGAAGGCGUCCGGGUUGUGAAGUACGGUCAGCGGUGAGGCGGUACCUGCAGAAGAAGCACCGGCUAACUCCGUGCCAGCAGCCGCGGUAAUUC